rnacentral:misc_RNA from 1 species
GAUGAAGAACUUAGCGAAAUGCGAUAAGUAAUGUGAAUUGCAGAAUUCAGUGAAUCAUCGAGUCUUUGAACGCACAUUGCGCCCCCUGGUAUUCCGGGGGGCAUGCCUGUCCGAGCGUCAUUGCCGCCCUCAAGCACGGCUUGUGUGUUGGGCCCCCGCCCCCCGGCUUCGGGGGGCGGGCCCGAAAGGCAGCGGCGGCACCGCGUCCGGUCCUCGAGCGUAUGGGGCUUCGUCACCCGCUCUGUAGGCCCGGCCGGCGCCCGCCGGCGACCCCAAUCAAUCUUUCCAGGUUGACCUCGGAUCAGGUAGGGAUACCCGCUGAACUUAAGCAUAUCAAUAAGCGGAGGA